rnacentral:rRNA from 1 species
GUGUCAGCCGCCGCGGUAAGACGGAGGGUGCAAGCGUUGCUCGGAAUCAUUGGGCGUAAAGGGUGCGUAGGCGGCUUUUUAAGUCUGACGUGAAAGUCCAGGGCUCAGCCUUGGAAGUGCGCCAGAAACUGAAAAGCUAGAGUGCCGGAGGGGAGAGUGGAAUUCCUGGUGUAGCGGUGAAAUGCGUAGAUAUCAGGAGGAAUACCGGUGGCGAAAGCGACUCUCUGGACGGUAACUGACGCUGAGGCACGAAAGCGUGGGGAGCAAACAGGAUUAGAUACCCUGGUAGUCCACGCCGUAAACGAUGGACACUAGGUGUCGGGGGUAACCACUCCCUCGGUGCCGCCGCUAACGCAUUAAGUGUCCCGCCUGGGAAGUACGGCCGCAAGGUUAAA